UUUUUUUAAUACCGUGAUUUCCAAAUUUUUCUUGUUUCCGGAUAAGGAAUGUUGAUAGUCAAGAUGUAGUGUUUAUGUUGGUGACAUUUAUGUCCAAUCAAUUUGCCUCAUCGUAAUGAUCGUCAUCUUCAAUUUUGAAGCACUCAUUUCAUUACAUGCAUUUCAAACAAUUGAUGUAGGAAAUCAUUCGUUAAGCAGGGGAAUUUAUGGUAGACGUUCAAAGGCCUUUCUUGAGAGUUUAAUUUCAUACGAGAAACAAUUCGGUAUCUGCGUGGCUUGAGAGGUUUCUCAAAAAAUAAUAUCUCAGUGUCGGGUGGGGAAAGGCAGAAUCACUUUUUAAACCGAAUUGGCUAUCUUUCUCACUGGUUUUAUAUUGGAUUGAGUACUUUUCAUCAUUGAAAAGUAUUUGGAGUUCCAGGUUUAUAAAUAAUGGUCCAACGUACAACCAGCCAACUUAGUCCGAGCUACACCAGCAGAAGAGCACUGAAUAAUGUCGGACUUCAUCCGGGCCCAUACAUCUCACUUAUAGCUGCGUUUCAUCAAGUCGCCUGCCUUUCGCAGAUAUCGUUCCGACGCCGUUCACCUCCCGCCAUCCACUUCUUGUACGUCAUGUUUUAAUUUUAAUGCUGAUGAAUGAUUGAUCGCGCCCCUUCUAUCAAAACGGAAUGCUCCCCCAUAUCCAAUAUCGAACACUAGACCACUCUGUGAUCAGCUACCCUUCUGUUCAGUGUUCUCGACCUUCACCGAGGGUGCCUAUUUCCAACAUUGCUGAGAAGCUUCACGAAACAGCUCAUUAUCAAGUAGGUUUUGAAAUUUUGAAGGUUUAUGUUCCGUAUAUCUGAACGUGUUGCUUGUAGUAAUUAUAGUAUGAUCUCCAUAGCGAAAAUAGGAAAAUAAUUAUGUCAAGAGCAUUAAUUCCUAGAGGUACUCUCGAUAUAAACUAUUUCGGAAGAAAUAGAAAUAUAUACAAGCAAAUUCUUACCAAAUUCAAAGCUUAAACUCGAAAGUUUGUAACGAACUUCGAAGAUAACCAAUGGCGUAACAAACACUAAAUAUGUUCAGGCACAAAAAAUCAACUUUCUAAAUUUCAUUGAUUACAAAUCAUCGACAAACCUUUUCAACGCUUGUUUUAUUCAUUGUCAACAUUAUUGAGCAUAAUGAUACAUUGCAAUUGAAGAAAAUAAUAUCUGCCCAGAAUACGCCGAUAUUUUGUAAGAUUCAUAUGUUAAGAACA